rnacentral:rRNA from 1 species
AACGCGAAGAACCUUACCAAGGCUUGACAUACGCCGGAAAGCAUCAGAGAUGGUGCCCCCCUUGUGGUCGGUGUACAGGUGGUGCAUGGCUGUCGUCAGCUCGUGUCGUGAGAUGUUGGGUUAAGUCCCGCAACGAGCGCAACCCUUGUCCUGUGUUGCCAGCAUGCCCUUCGGGGUGAUGGGGACUCACAGGAGACCGCCGGGGUCAACUCGGAGGAAGGUGGGGACGACGUCAAGUCAUCAUGCCCCUUAUGUCUUGGGCUGCACACGUGCUACAAUGGCCGGUACAAUGAGCUGCGAUACCGUGAGGUGGAGCGAAUCUCAAAAAGCCGGUCUCAGUUCGGAUUGGGGUCUGCAACUCGACCCCAUGAAGUCGGAGUUGCUAGUAAUCGCAGAUCAGCAUUGCUGCGGUGAAUACGUUCCCGGGCCUUGUACACACCG